rnacentral:misc_RNA from 1 species
GCAAACUUGGUCAUUUAGAGGAAGUAAAAGUCGUAACAAGGUUUCCGUAGGUGAACCUGCGGAAGGAUCAUUAACGAAAUGUUUUGUCGAGAGGGGUUGCUGCUGGCCUUCCGGGGCAUGUGCACGCCUCGAUCGCAAAUCCACCUUCUCACACCUGUGCACAACCUGUAGCCUUGGAGAUGCUAACCUGGAAGGGGGGAGAAAGUUCCCCCUUUCCUUGGGAUGCUCUGGGGCUAUGAUAUUUUCACAAACCAUAUGAAUGUACCAGAACGUCGAAGAUUGUAGCGCCUUCACAAGCGUGAAUAAAUACAACUUUCAGCAACGGAUCUCUUGGCUCUCGCAUCGAUGAAGAACGCAGC